GCCUGAUGCAAGUCCUGAUGCCACUUUGAAUGGUUUAGUUGCCGCUGGUUUUGGUGCUGCAGGACAAAGGUGCAUGGCACUCAGCACAGUUGUUUUUGUUGGAGGUUCCAAGUCAUGGGAGAACAAACUAGUGGAAUGUGGCAAAUAUCUAAGUCAGUGCUGGAACAGAACCUGAUGCUGACAUUGGCCCUGUAAUUAGCGAGCAAGCAAAGGAACGGAUAUGCAAAUUAAUCCAAUCUGGUUUUGAAAGUG